CGCCCUAAUACGCUGUCGUUACAGAAAUCAAUCCCUUCGAUGAAACUCCAUCUUCGUCGUUUUUCCAAUUCCUGAAAGGAUCGUCGAUGAACCCACUACUCCAUCUCUUUAUUUGUUACAGAAAAAAAAUCUCAAACAAUGAAUCUGCGAUGUUAAGGGAUUGAAAAAUAUGCGAUUCAUGUCUCAGACUUUUAUUGGCGUUCGCAGCCGUCGUGGUCCCUCGAUGGUGAGGCUUCAGAUUUUUGAGCAAAGCAGACAAAGAAAAUUCUGGGACGCUGACUCCGAAAGAGUAUCAAGAAGCAAUGGAUGACAUAUGUGUUAGAAACCCUCAAUUGGAGCUCUACUUGAAGAGUAAACGUAUGCGUGGCAUUGUGGAUCUUCUAAAAGAAGCUGAAGCUGGUGAUGGAUCCAAGAAGAACAUCAAGCUGAAGAUAGAAGAGUUCAAAUCGGCUCUAUCUCAGGUUGACUCACAAGUGAAGUUUCUUCCAGCAACAGCACAGGUUGCUGCGCAGCAGGGCACAUACCUUGCUUAAUGCUUUGAUCGAAUGGAAGAGUGUGAGAAGAAUCCAGAAGGCCCCAUUAGGAUGAGAGGAGAAGGUCACCAUCUCCGCCCCUUCAGGUAUAGGCAUUUGGGAUCAUUUUCACCACUGGGAGGGGAACAAACGGCCGCAGAACUUCCAGGAGAUUGGGUUUCUAUUGGACAUAGCAGCCAGUGGCUGUGGUAUUCCGUCUACGCCAGUAAGCAAGUGAGCUGGUGCACGAGAGUCAUUGUGGUUUCUGAUUGGAUGAGGUGUUUCAUCUUUGGUAGAGACUCAAGUAGCAUCUGAGUAUAACAUCACCAAAAGGGCAGUCAUCCCCUUCAUGAGACAGAGAGAGACAAUGGAAACAAUGUUUUUGAAGAUUUUCAUACUCCAGUUCAACUUGUUUACGUUCUCCAGCCAAGUUAAUUUCCAGUGGCUUUAGUCCGUUGAUAGCGACACGGACUCUAGCUUGAUCAACAUCAAAAUCUUCCACAGGUCCCAAUUCUUUCCCAAUAGCUCUCAGAGUAUCUUCCGUCCAGUAAUGAAGCGGGAUACCAUGAACUGUGAUCCAGAAUGGGAUUGAUGCCAGGAAGUUAUCAGAGAUUACAGGUUCCCACUUCUGUAGUAUCAUCAUCCAUCUCUUGAAGUGGUAGGGACCUUCCUUAAGAAUGCGCUUCAUAUCUCUCUCAUUGUCAAACCGGAAUUGAAACAGGUUAGGACCCAAUGCUUUCCCGGUAAACUGGCCUUAGACAUGCCAGUGUUGGAGGAAGAAGUCCACAAGCGCCUUUGUUUUCUGUAUCGCAGGGUUCGUGACUCUGCCAAUGAGAGUUAGCCGAUUUUCUUCGAUGAGUUUUUUGUUGUCUGACACCGGGAUGUUGAUUGGUGGUCGUCUGAUAGGUUUUGAAGUUUCUGGUAUCCAUUUACCUUUAUCUCCUCUACUCAGUCUGUGAGCCAUUUAAACCGAAGAGAGAGAGAGACAAGCAAGUAAUAAAUGGUCGUAGUAAAUGUAAAACGGUAAGAUCCAAAUCUUAUGGUAAAUCCUCAGUGACGAGGUAAGGAACUGCACAAGACAGUAAAGGGUUCACUAGGGACAAAAGACUUGAAACUUUCCCUCCAUUGCAGUAGAAAGUUGAUUCUUUUUCCCGUCCUUACCCUUCUUCAUUUUGUAGAUCUACGUCAGAUACACCUUCUGAUUACUCAUCUUGGACCGAACAAGUGUUUUACUUGGAGAGGGGGAGCUGGGGGCUGAAGAUGCUGGAGAUUGGAGGAAAUUUCCGGUAAAGUUGGUCGCUUUAUCACGGUUGUUUCCGACAAGGGAGCGGUAGAUUUGCACAAAGUCAACUUUAGAACAGUAAUCCUCGAUAUUAGUGUUUGGGAGCUUUUUAGCGAUGAUUCUAUUUUAUUCUGUCAUACCAAAAGGUCCAAACUAUCCACACAUCUCUCUCUCUCUCUCUCUCUCUCUCUCUCUCUCUCUCUCUCUCUCUCUCUCUCUCUCUCUCUCUCUCUCUCUCUCUCUCCCCCUUUACGCCCCGAACCAGCUUACACUUUUAACUUUUCUUUCUCAUGUGAAAAGAACGAAUUGAUUUUUGUUGUUUUUCAUUUCGGCUUUAUAUUCGUAAUAAAAUCACUACAAGGAUGCGAGGAGAUUGCUUCGUUUAUUGGUCGUAUGUCUUUUUAAAAAUGCAUUUUCCAUGCGGUUUUGUUUUUCGUUUAUGAUUACAAAUGUUAUUUUCUGAUCACUGAAGUUUGUAUCGUUAUUUCAAGUAACGCAUAUACAAACGAA